UGUCCGGAUAGCUCAGUUGGUGGAUCAUGAGACUCUUAAUCUCAGGGUUGUGGGUUUGAGCCCCAUAUUCGACAA